AGUUUAUCCCUUGCCUCCAGGACUAGAAGGACUUUGCUUGGGAUAAGGGUGCAGGCAAGAGGUGUAUUUUGACUCGGCUUCCUGCAUUUUCUACAACCCGGAGCCCGCAAUACGAGAAGUGUGCAUCUACCCGAAGAGGAAGGGUAAACGGAACGACCAUUAGAGCCCCUUACUGAAUACAAUAUUGGGCUUCAGCCUCACCUCAGCCACUCGUGAUGAGUCCAACAAGCAGAGCUGAAGUCUGAAUGGAAAACGCACUGAUCGGUGGGUGCAUCGCUGGUGGAGCCAUUGGCUUCCAAGGAUCGCACAGUGUGGGGAGUGGAGCACAGACGAGGAGCGUC